CUACGGGUCGCUCCAGUGAGGAAUAUUGCACAAUGGGGGAAACCCUGAUGCAGCAACGCCGCGUGGAGGAUGACGCAUUUCGGUGUGUAAACUCCUUUUAUGAGUCAAGAAAAUGACGGUAGCUCAUGAAUAAGCACCGGCUAACUCCGUGCCAGCAGCCGCGGUAAUACGGAGGGUGCAAGCGUUACUCGGAAUCACUGGGCGUAAAGGACGCGUAGGCGGGAUGUCAAGUCAGGUGUGAAAUCCUAUGGCUCAACCAUAGAACUGCACUUGAAACUGGCAACCUAGAGUAUGGGAGGGGGAGAUGGAAUUAGUGGUGUAGGGGUAAAAUCCGUAGAUAUCACUAGGAAUACCGAAAGCGAAGGCGAUCUCCUGGAACAUUACUGACGCUAAGGCGUGAAAGCGUGGGGAGCAAACAGGAUUAGAUACCCUAGUAGUC
rnacentral:rRNA from 1 species